GACGAACGCUGGCGGCGUGCUUAACACAUGCAAGUCGAACGAAGUGGCGAACGGGUGAGUAACGCGUAAUCAACCUGCCCUUCAGAGGGGGACAACAGUUGGAAACGACUGCUAAUACCGCAUACUUAAUUAGGGGAUUUCUUCUGAUUAGCUAGUUGGAGGGGUAACGGCCCCCCAAGGCGAUGAUCAGUAGCCGGGCUGAGAGGAUGACCGGCCACAUUGGGACUGAGACACGGCCAAGACUCCUACGGGAGGCAGAAGUGGGGAAUCUUCCGCAAUGGACGAAAGUAUGACGGAGCAACGCCGCGUGAGUGAUGACGGCCUUCGGGUUGUAAAGCUCUGUUAAUCGGGACGCGGUAACGGAAGAGAAAGCCACGGCUAACUACGUGCCAGCAGCCGCGGUAAUAG
rnacentral:rRNA from 1 species